AUGAGCGGCGCCGACAUCAAGAACUCCUUCUUGAGUAGCUUCGAGGACAUCGAUACUUACAUUGGGAACGUGACGACAGAGAUUGUGAAGAACGUCGUGCAAAUACAAAAGCUUGGUGUGAAAAAGGUGCUAGUCAACAACAUGCAUCCCAUUGGUUGCACGCCUUUGAGGACUAGUACGAACAACUACACCACAUGUGACCUUCUUGCCAACUACGCCGCGUCCGUGCAUAACAAAAAUCUAAAGCAGUUGAUGGGCAAAAAGAAUAACGCCUACAUGCUGGACCUGUACACCGCCUUCACCGACAUCAUCAAUCAUGCCCCAGGACAAAGAGCAACAGCAGCGGGCUGUGCUGACGAUGCCGGAGUCGACACAAACGACAACAUCAACAGAGGCGAGGUCGAGGCACCCUGCGAGCUCGCGCCAGAGUCUCCUAGCAACGGGGAGGCAGGCGGCAUCAAGCCCUGUGCGGCCGGCCCAUCUAGAGCCGGGGAGGCGGGUGGCGAUGGGCCCUGCGAGGCUAGCCCACCAAGAGCCGGGGUGAGGUCGGCCAGUGCAGGAGAAACAGCUGCUGGGCCUGACGAGGUGGCAGCCCGCCUAGGCGAAGCAACCACCGAGACGAGCGAGGUCGGCGCCCGCGGGGCGACUGCGGGUGCAGCAUCCACGGGCUGA
rnacentral:rRNA from 1 species